AUAAAUGGUGGAAUGAGAAGCUCUGCGUCAACAUUUCAGCCAGUGGAGAGAAUUUUAUCAUGGAAUAUAUGUUUUGUUGUUUCUUGGAAAAGAAGGCCACGGAACACUAAGCAUCUCAGACAAUUCCCAAAUUCUUGUGCAUUCUAAACAAGCAGCAAAAGUAGCUUUUAAUAGUAUGGGCUUGAACCCAAGGGAACUUAGAGGACACUAACUUUGAAAACCAUUUUCUUGAUCUUAAGCAUCAGCUGCUUGCGUCAAAAAGAUUUUGACAGCAUAACAGAUUAAUGGAAAGAACAAUUCUAACACAGGGAAAUAACAUUAACAAUGAGAGAAACCAAUAGCAAAACAAAUAUUACUAGGGCAAUCUUAUCAAAAUAAGAGGACAUGCAUUUGAAUUUGUGGAGCAGAAAUAGCACAGGAAUAGAAUCUUACAAGUAAAUAGCUGACUCUAAAACCUUCGUAAGUAAAAGCCACAUACAAAGAAGAAAAAAAGUGCUUCAUUUUGAUGGAAACAUACAACUUUUGGGAGAGGAUUUUUAUUGGCUAAACCUAAAAGAUGCGCCUCCUAUGAUAAGAAACAAUUUGUUCUGGAAUUCUGAGACUUCUUACUCCAGCUUUCUUGGGACUGCCUAAUUAUAAUUUUCUAGGAGAUGGUUAAGAAAUCAUGAAGAUUGUAAGGGAAGGCUUGAAAAACAAAAGAUUCAGCGAUCAAGGAAAACAUAAGCUGGUUAUUGUAAAAGGAAAAUCAUGAAAACAAUCUUGCAAAGGCAAAUUCACCAACAGCCCAUUUGGAAACAUUAGAUUUAGGGUAGAAAUUAAAUGAAAUCAAUGCAAUACCAUUUACCUGUUACAGGGUUUCGGAAAGUCCUGAGCAAUAGAAAUGAAUUCUACAUCCCAUUAAAACCAUAUAUUUCCAUACGGCUCUAAAUCUCACCAAGUGGGGUGCGAUUUGGGUUGAAAUGAAAUCAAUUCAAUUCAAUUUAUGUGAGAAUUGAAAUCAAAAUCAUAAGCAUUAAUGAAUGUGAUUUACCAGCAAGUCUUCCUUUUAUUCUUUUUAGGAAAGUUCUUCAAUCAAGAUCCAUAAACCACGCUAUAUUACAGUGAAUUAAUUGGCCAUAAAUAAUCUUAGCUAAAUUCAAAAAUAAUAAAAAGUGGGUUGUCUUAGAUCAAGUCAGAUAAGCAAUCUAGUUAAGGUAAUUUCAGUAACUAAACUAGAGACCAAGCUAAGAGUUCUAAUAAGAUGACAGACACCAUUAGCAGCAAAAUCAGUGAAAGAACAUACAUAAGUCCUAGAUAGAGCAAUCGACCCUACAUGUGCUAGUAACAAAUGCUGCAACCCAAUUACCCAGUAUCCAGAUUAAUUAAUAUAACCACCAAGACUAAUUAACAGCUAAUCAGAUCUCGCAAAAAUUUGGCAAGAUCAAGU